rnacentral:rRNA from 1 species
UGCGUAGGCGGCCAUUUAAGUCGGAUGUGAAAUCCCCGAGCUCAACUUGGGAAUUGCAUUCGAUACUGGGUGGCUAGAGUAUAGGAGAGGAAGGUAGAAUUCCAGGUGUAGCGGUGAAAUGCGUAGAGAUCUGGAGGAAUACCGAUGGCGAAGGCAGCCUUCUGGCCUAAUACUGACGCUGAGGUACGAAAGCAUGGGGAGCAAACA